GACGAACGCUGGCGGCGUGCUUAACACAUGCAAGUCGAACGAUGAACUUGGAGCUUGCUCUGGGGGAUUAGUGGCGAACGGGUGAGUAACACGUGAGUAACCUGCCCUGGACUCUGGGAUAACUUCGAGAAAUCGGAGCUAAUACCGGAUAGGACCUUGCACCGCAUGGUGUGGGGUGGAAAGGUUUGCGGUUUGGGAUGGACUCGCGGCCUAUCAGCCUGUUGGUGAGGUAAUGGCUCACCAAGGCGUCGACGGGUAGCCGGCCUGGCAGGGUGACCGGCGACACUGGGACUGAGACACGGCCCAGACUCCUACGGGAGGCAGCAGUGGGGAAUAUUGCACAAGGGGCGCAAGCCUGAUGCAGCAAUGCCGCGUGCGGGAUGACGGCCUUCGGGUUGUAAACCGCUUUUAGUAGGGAAGAAGCCUUCGGGUGACGGUACCUGCAGAAAAAGGACCGGCUAACUACGUGCCAGCAGCCGCCGUAACAC
rnacentral:rRNA from 1 species